GAGCAUCCUGGAGGACCUGGAGAGCCGGGAGGCCAUGGAGCCAGUGGUCAGACACCAUUUCACCUGUGACCAAGAGGUGCACUCUCUGAGGCCCCAAGGGAAGGGACUGCCCUCCACCUCCCUGCCCCAUUUGUUCUGUGAAUGUCGCUACAAGAAGGGCAUCAGGGUGGCCAGUCCAUGCAGCCAGGUUCCAGACAUCCCCAGGAUCUCAGCCCCUCCAAGGGUACCUGGAACAUUGAGGCAGAGGGAAAAGCAACUGGCCAGAACACACACCCAGCUCCCCACACGCUCUAGAAGGUUUCAGGUCUCUGCCUCUCAGGACCCCAGACUCCCCCGAUUCAGCCUCGUCUUAGUUCUGACUCUAGUGCCCAGAAUUUGCCUCUAUUUCCCAGUCCAGAAAUUGGAAAAGAACGUCUCCAGGUCCCUUGCUUGAAGACCUGGCCAGAGCUGGUGCCAGGCUGCAGACAUCUGGAAGGAGGCGAGAAGGGCACACUCGCUUUCCCCUUGUCCUGGGAGGCCCACACACCAACAUUGCCACCACCGCUGCCACCUGGGAGCACAGCCAAAGUAGACACACACAGGAAAAGGGGAAGGGUUGAGUGAACCUGGGACACUGCACCCCAACUUUAAUGUAUUUUUGAAUUCAAUUUGCUAAUAUUUUGUGGAGGAUUUUUGCAUCAGUAUUCAUCAGUGAUAUUGGCCUGUAGUUCUCUGUUUUGGAUGUAUCUUUGGUUUUGGUAUCAGAGUAAUACUAGCCUUGUAGAAUGAGUUUGGAAUAGUUGGGUAAGUUCUCUAGUUUUGGAAUAGUUUGGGUAAGGUUGGUAUGAGUUUUUCUUUAAAUGUUUGGUAAAAUUCAGCAGUGAAGCACCAGGUCCCAAACUUUUCUUUGCUGGGACACUUUUUAUUACCAUUUUGAUCUCAUUAUUUGCUACUGUUCAGGUUUUUUAUUUCAUCAUGGUUCAAUCUUGAUAGGCUGGAUGUGUCUAGAAAUUGAUCCAUUUUUAGUUGGUUUUCCUAUUUCUUUGUGUAUAGUUGCUUAUAAUGGCCACUAGUGAUCCUGUGAAUUUUUGCGGUAUCAGUUGUAAUGUUUCCUUUUUCGUCUUUGAUUUUAUUCACGUGGGUCUUCUUUUUGUCUUAGUCUUAGUUAGGCUAAAAGUUUGUCAGUGUUGUUUAUCUUUUCCAAAAACCAACUAUUCUUUUCAUUGAUGCUUUGUUUUUUUCAUUUCAAUUUCAUUUAUUUCUGUUCUGAUCUUUAUUAUUUCUUUUCUUCUAAUAAU
rnacentral:lncRNA from 1 species